rnacentral:rRNA from 1 species
GCGAACGCUGGCGGCAGGCCUAACACAUGCAAGUCGAACGCGUGUAGCAAUACACGAGUGGCAGACGGGUGAGUAACACGUGGGAACGUGCCCUUCGGUUCGGAAUAACUCAGGGAAACUUGAGCUAAUACCGGAUACGCCCUUACGGGGAAAGAUUUAUCGCCGAUGGAUCGGCCCGCGUCUGAUUAGCUAGUUGGUGAGGUAACGGCUCACCAAGGCGACGAUCAGUAGCUGGUCUGAGAGGAUGAUCAGCCACACUGGGACUGAGACACGGCCCAGACUCCUACGGGAGGCAGCAGUGGGGAAUAUUGGACAAUGGGGGAAACCCUGAUCCAGCCAUGCCGCGUGAGUGAUGAAGGCCCUAGGGUUGUAAAGCUCUUUCGGCGGGGACGAUAAUGACGGUACCCGCAGAAGAAGCCCCGGCUAACUUCGUGCCAGCCGCCGCGGUAAUU